UACGUAGGGGGCAAGCGUUGUCCGGAUUUAUUGGGCGUAAAGAGCGUGUAGGCGGUUUGGUAGGUCCGCUGUGAAAAACUCGAGGCUCAACCUCGAGACGCCGGUGGAAACCAUCAGGCUAGAGUCCGGAAGAGGAGAGUGGAAUUCCUGGUGUAGCGGUGAAAUGCGCAGAUAUCGGGAGGAACACCAAUGGCGAAGGCAGCUCGCUGGGACGGUACUGACGCUGAGGCGCGAAAGCGUGGGGAGCAAACAGG
rnacentral:rRNA from 1 species